GGUAAACUUUGCUCCUCACUGCUGAAAGCCUAAGCAGUGAGAUUGUAGUCCAUCAUACAAAACUGGCUUGUCUUCCCGGGCUUCAUGAGGAUAGGCAGGCUGUCCCCAGCAGUGCUUUCUGAACUUUGCCAAGUCAAACAAUU
rnacentral:snoRNA from 1 species